rnacentral:rRNA from 1 species
GGGCACGGCAGAGUAGCUAAGUCGGGACGGGAUAAACGCUGAAAGCAUCUAAGUGUGAAACCCACCUCAAGAUGAGACUUCCCUUGAGGAACGUUAGAGAUUAUGACGUAGAUAGGCUACAGGUGGAAGUGCAGUAAUGUAUGCAGCCGAGUAGUACUAAUGAACCGAGAGCUCUUAAAUUU